ACUCCUACGGGAGGCAGCAGUGGGGAAUAUUGCGCAAUGGGCGGAAGCCUGACGCAGCGACGCCGCGUGGGGGAUGACGGCCUUCGGGUUGUAAACCUCUUUCGCCAGGGACGAAGCUUUUGUGACGGUACCUGGAGAAGGAAGCACCGGCCAACUACGUGCCAGCAGCCGCGGUAACACGUAGGGUGCGAGCGUUGUCCGGAUUCAUUGGGCGUAAAGAGCUCGUAGGCGGUCUAGUAAGUUGGGUGUGAAAGCUCCGGGCUCAACCCGGAGAGGUCACCCAAAACUGCUAUGACUAGAGUCCAGUAGAGGAGCGUGGAAUUCCUGGUGUAGCGGUGAAAUGCGCAGAUAUCAGGAGGAACACCAGCAGCGAAGGCGGCGCUCUGGGCUGGAACUGACGCUGAGGAGCG
rnacentral:rRNA from 1 species